AGUGAACGCUGGCGGUAGGCCUAACACAUGCAAGUCGAACGGCAGCACGGUAAGAGCUUGCUCUUACGGGUGGCGAGUGGCGGACGGGUGAGGAAUACAUCGGAAUCUACUUUUUCGUGGGGGAUAACGUAGGGAAGCUUACGCUAAUACCGCAUACGACCUACGGGUGAAAGCAGGGGAUCUUCGGACCUUGCGCGAUUGAAUGAGCCGAUGUCGGAUUAGCUAGUUGGCGGGGUAAAGGCCCACCAAGGCGACGAUCCGUAGCUGGUCUGAGAGGAUGAUCAGCCACACUGGAACUGAGACACGGUCCAGACUCCUACGGGAGGCAGCAGUGGGGAAUAUUGGACAAUGGGCGCAAGCCUGAUCCAGCCAUACCGCGUGGGUGAAGAAGGCCUUCGGGUUGUAAAGCCCUUUUGUUGGGAAAGAAAAGCAGCAGGUUAAUACCCCGCUGUUCUGACGGUACCCAAAGAAUAAGCACCGGCUAACUUCGUG
rnacentral:rRNA from 1 species